rnacentral:rRNA from 1 species
GACGAACGCUGGCGGCGUGCUUAACACAUGCAAGUCGAACGGUGAAGCGCCUUCCUUUUUGGUGGGUGUGGAUGAGUGGCGAACGGGUGAGUAACACGUGAGUAACCUGCCCCCUUCUUCUGGAUAACCGCAUGAAAGUGUGGCUAAUACGGGAUAUUCUGGGUCUGUCGCAUGAUGGGUCUGGGAAAGAUAUUGUUUCGGUGGGGGAUGGGCUCACGGCCUAUCAGCUUGUUGGUGGGGUGGUGGCCUACCAAGGCGGUGACGGGUAGCCGGCCUGAGAGGGUGGACGGUCACACUGGGACUGAGACACGGCCCAGACUCCUACGGGAGGCAGCAGUGGGGAAUAUUGCACAAUGGGCGCAAGCCUGAUGCAGCGACGCCGCGUGAGGGAUGGAGGCCUUCGGGUUGUGAACCUCUUUCGCCAGUGAAGCAGGCCUGCCUCGUUUGUGGGUGGGUUGACGGUAGCUGGAUAAGAAGCGCCGGCUAACUACGUG